rnacentral:lncRNA from 1 species
UUUUUUUAUCAAUUGGUUGUAUUUCAUGCAUUUAUUUUAUUAGUAACAGAGUUCUUCCAAACAUGUGAGAUUUUGAAUUUGAAUAUUAGUUAAAAUCAAUUAUUAAAAGAAUGAAAUAUAAUAAAAAAAAUAUAAAAUAUAAUUUACAUACUUUUUAUUAAUGCACCAUAUAUUUUAUUUAACCAAAAUUCAUAUGACUAGAUGAGAGUUACCGAAGGAUAUUCUAAAGUUCAAAAUUCAGUAUAAAUAUAACCAAACUAAAAUAUAAAAAUAGAAAUAAAUCAAAUCAACUAGCCAACAGGUAAAUCAAAUCAACUAGCCAACAGGUAAAUCAAAUCAACUAGCCAACAGGUAAAUAAAAUCAAAAAACAAAUAGUCAUGAUUAACUACUGACUUUGCCAAACUACACCGCCACAACAUCGAUGACUCUCAUCCGUAUCCUGUUGUGAAGCGAGCACAACAAUAAGUAAACAAUAAGCAAAGAAAACAAUCAAUACCAAAUUCAGAAAAAAUAAAAAAAUAUAUAUAUAAUAAGAAAAAAAAAACAAAAUAAGAGUCUUAUCAUCCAAACACUACUAUAAUGGAAAGGCAUUCAGCGCUCAGCAAAAUAAUGAUAUACGGGAGCAGAGAUCGUUGGACGUAAUAAGAGUCUAAUGUUACUGAAAUCAGACUCUCUUUAGAGUCAUAUAAAAACCCUCAAGCAAAUCAAAUUUAUAACAACAUGUAAAAUAAAAGCCGUCCUGUAAGGAAAAUUAGAAAUAGAGAUUAAAAAAAAUAAUUAUAAUCUAACAAAAUCACAAAAUAUAAAAGCACCAGAGUCUAAAUUUGGAGAGAGAUAAAGGCAUGGAGAGACGAAUGGAAAUGAUGGUGAGAGAGAAACUGAAAGGAAAUUGAAAGAAAAAGAACUAUGUAGACUAUUAUACACGUUAAUAGUCAUUUUUGGACCACAAUUUUAAAAACAUCACACUCCGACAAAAUAAGUUUGUAAAGACUUAAUAAAAUUCUAAGUCUAGUGCUAUCAUCUUUCGUUUUUUUAGCAUUCUUAAUUUCUUGUAUUUUUUUAAAUGAUAUUUCAUCUGAAAUUAUAUUAAUUUAACCCAUUUUACUUCCAAUACUAGAAAUAAAGAUAAAAUUACAUAAUUUUUUCAAUUCUCAUGAGUGUCAAUAAUUGCAUCCAUCACCACUUUAACCAUAUGUAAAUAAUAAUAAUAAAAAAUAAUAUAACCUUUUCC